AUAUAUAUAUAUGCAAACCUAACUCUAAAAUCACUCCCCAUUCCAAAAUCGACCGCCGCCGCCACUCCUCUCCUUUCUGUUGCCGCUCCAACGAAAAGGAAGAUGCCGCUGGGGAAGAGGAUGAGAAGACCAUCAAUGGAGGUCCCAGGUACUUCUCGGCCAUUCAUCUGUAAGGUUACGGGGUGUAGGGUUCUGGAUAUGGCCGGGGGCGGAUCUGCACGGUUGCAGGCCGACGGCCGACGGCCUCAUGACCAUGUCUCACUUCGGUCUCUGCUGAUGUUCUCUGGUUUCUUCAAUCUCGUAUUUUUCUAAUCUGUAUUUGUAGCUCAGUAGUAGUAGACUGUAGUCUUGUUCUUCUAGCCUACCAAUUCUUCUAUUCAAUUAGGUUGGAAAUUAAAAUAGAAUCAAGGAUUAAAAUUGCAUAUUCUUCACAAUGGGUAGUUUUUUUUUUUGACUGAACACAAUGGGAUGUAUCAUGCUUGUGUAGAGAUUAAGUCUCGAUUGUAGGAAGGUUCCUGCCUGUGGUGGAGCAUGGUGUGAACAUCUAGUCAAUUUGUAUCUAACUCUUGCAAAACAAUAGGGCAAAAGAUUGGAGAUCAAACAAAUUAACUUGUAGGCUAGCAGUGCUCCUGCUAGCAGUGCUCCAAGGAUCUGGGGUGAUUUUGAUAUGAGCAGGUACUGUUGCUGUUUAUUUAUGUACAACAAUAGGAGCAAAGCCUUGCAUGCUUUGCUUUUUUUCUCUAAAAUGCAUUAAGCUAUGUUAUCAAUCCAUUUUGUAUAUCUUUGCUUAUGAGAUUCAAUGCUUUAGAUCUAUUUUUCAGAUAAUUAAGAUUCAAUGCUUUAGAUCUAAGACAAAACUAAAGUGAAACUAUGCUGAUUCAGAAACCAGAAUUAUAUGGCUGAAAUUUGAAGUGGGUUUGCUUGCCCACUUGACAACAUUUUAAGCAGAUGUGAUUGUUUCAGAACACUAGAAUUUUUAUUGGACACCAUUGAUUUCCUGCUUGACAGUUAAAUGAUUUUCCCAUUUGAAACCUUUUCCUGGACACUAAUUGGGAUUUCUCGGUUACACUACUCAUUGUGUACUGUAGUAUUGAAGUUUUAUUCUAAAGAAUGAUACACUGAAUGUUAAGCUAUAUUGCUCUUAAUUGAAUAUGUGCAAUAGUAUAGAAUUAGCAUUUCAGAGCUUUAAGUUAGUAGUGUAUCAACCUGAUUGUUCUCAUUUUUGCCAGAUUAGCUAUAUUACUAAUGCUACACAAUCGUUUCAUGUCUAGGAAAAACGUGUGAAGAGCAAUCUUUAUACAUUUCGGAAGCAAGAAAAAUACAAAGGUAUAGAGCAAACUUUGACCUCCUAUUUUUUAACAGUACUGGAAUCAAAUGAACUUAUAUAAGUUUUUUAACUAAAAGUUCUGAUUGCUAGGUAUUAGACUUAGAGAUGGUGUGUUCAUUUCUUAUUUUUGACACCAUGUUCUUUUCAGGUUGUUGGACUCAUUUUAGUGAUUUGUGAAGUGUGGUGUGACUGACUGGAGUCCAACACCAUGUUUUCAUCCUUUUGGCAUCAUUGGAGUAGUGUGCUAUUUCUAUUAGUGAUAUAGUGAUCUAUCCUAUUGUUGCAGUGUCUGGAAAUGUGCCCGGAGUGUUGCUACUGCUGUUGGUGAGAUGCUGCUAACUAGAACUUGCCCUGCUGCCAUGCUGCUCCUUUUGCUAUGACUGGAUGACCGAAACUUACGCUGCCAUGGUGCUGCUGUUGUUGUAGUGACUGAAAUAUGGCUACUUCUUUUAAUUUGAUGGAUGUAUGUUUGGUAUGGCUGGUAAUUGAUGGAUUUAAUGGAUGGAUGUAUGAACCAUUGUAUGGUUGUUGAUUUAUUGAACUAUUGUAUGGUUGUGUGAACAAUUAGUUGAAGAAAGUGAUCUACUGGCUACUGCUGUUGUGUUGAUUUAUGAUGAUUCUUUAUAUGGGCUUGGGUUGUAAUAUUGGAUGUAAACUGGGUUGUAGUAUUGAAUGCAAACCGG
rnacentral:lncRNA from 1 species